GGUGAUUCCACAGUGUGGACGGCCAGGCAGAGGCAAGGAUAGGGAGAUACAUAAAGAGUGCAACCCAGGUUAAAACUCCAGUAGCCUCGUAGCCACUCCCCGACCACGCCCAGGUUUGGAAUACCCGGAUGAGGCGAUGGGUGAGGGCGGAUCAUUUCCUCUGUUCCCUGAUGAUACCAGGUUGUUUCGGCGUAGUCGGACCUGAACACACAACUUUCUCCACACAUAUACGUACCCUCUCACCCUUGUCCAGUGGUCAGUUUUUUUUGGAUUGGACUGUUGAUGAUGGAGAGCUACCCACCCAACACCGGAGUCCCCUCCUCCCACAAAGUGUGGUAGGAACACAUACUCUGGAACUUGAAUGAACUGAACCGAACUGAACUGAACUGAACCGAACCGAACUGAACUGAACUGAACU